GGCCCAGAUCGUUUACCGUGAAAAAAUUAGAGUGUUCAAAGCAGGCAGAUCCAAUUUUCUGCCACCGAAUACAUUAGCAUGGGAUAAUGGAAUAGGACCCUGUCCUCCUAUUUUCAGUUGGUUUUGGCAGCGCGAGGACUAGGGUAAUGAUUAAUAGGGAUAGUUGGGGGCAUUAAUAUUUAAUUGUCAGAGGUGAAAUUCUUGGAUUUAUGAAAGAUUAACUUCUGCGAAAGCAUCUGCCAAGGAUGUUUUCAUUAAUCAAGAACGAAAGUUAGGGGAUCGAAGACGAUCAGAUACCGUCGUAGUCUUAACCAUAAACGAUGCCGACCAGCGAUUAGGAGACGUUGAAUACAAAACACCACCAUCGGCGCGGUCGUCCUUGGCGUCUGUCCCUUUCAACGGGGGCAGGCGCGAGGGCGGUUUAGCCCGGUGGCACCGGUGAAUGACUCCCUAGCAGCUUGUGAGA
rnacentral:rRNA from 1 species